CUGGGGCCCUCUGGGAGGGCACAGGUGGCAGAAGGAAGCAGGCCUGUGAAUGUGCAUGUGCAUUUGCGUUUCUGAGGCCUUGCUGAUCCCUCGCUUUCCUUUCUACCAUGAGUUGGCCCAUCCUUGUGGUUUUAGAGCCAGAGCGAGGAAAGUCUGGGUGAGGGGUGCGGCCGGGAAUGGGGCUCCGGUCCCCCCCUCCCACCGUCUCUUGGGUUCGCCCCCACCCCGGAGCAGCACGUGCACGUGUGUCGGAGCCCGGCCUGGGCGACUUGGGGGAAGCGCGAGAACUCAACGGCUGAGAAAUGUUCUCUCACGUCUGCACGCUGCGAGGAGAGUUAUGUUCCCCCCAUGAAUCGUGGGCAUCCGUUCCGGGGAGCUCUGACUGCUCAGGAGAAGGGGUGUGUCCUCAGUGCCUAGAACAGUAUCUGGCACAGAGCACCUGCUCUGUGAACAUCUGUGCACGAACACCCCAAGCUUGCUGGGAUCCAGGACUCCUCCAUCAUUACAUCCUUGAUGAGAAUGUCCAAAGAAAGAAUCGUGGAGCCAGCGAUCAGAGACUUCCUGCAGGCUGACAUUGACUCAUUUACCAGCACCCCUUGAACUGGGUCAUUUGAUUAUAGAUCUACUGAAUCACCCAGUCCCUCAGCCCUGACAUGUAAGCUCCCAGAGGAAAGGAGUAGAUUUUGCUGAUUGGAGGCUCCUCAUUGAUCGAGAAACAUUGGAGGCUUACUCUCUUGGGAUUUUGGAUGAGAAAACUGAAGCUCAGAAAGAAGUCUGUUGGGAACCAGGAGGGAGAGAAAUGAAUCAAUCAGUCUAUCAACCAAUCAACUAGCCAAUCCAGAGAAGAGAGGAAGAAGAGGGCAGGAUGGAGACAAGGGAACAAGGUACCCUCUGGAUCGGAAUGGACCACUGGGCCAUUAGCAAAUGGACUGGCAGUAACAUGAGCCCAUCUGUAGGACUUCUUCAGCUGGAAAAUAAGGACAUGGGAGCAGAAGAUCAUACCUACAGCUAUUAUGCUGAGCUCCCGUGAUGUGUCCUAUUUCUGUAAGCAUUCUAGGACCCAUCCUGACCUGGCCACACUCCCUGACCCAAUCUCAGCCCCUGCCAAUUCCUACCACUCCUUGUCUUCAAUCUCUCUUGCCUGCUCUUGCCUCUGCAGAAUGUCUCCCCCUCGUCUUUGCAUGGCUGGCUCCUUCUUGCCAUUCCUCCAUGAACACCUGUCUCUAGUCA